rnacentral:rRNA from 1 species
GACGAACGCUGGCGGCGUGCUUAACACAUGCAAGUCGAGCGGAAAGGCCCUUCGGGGUACUCGAGCGGCGAACGGGUGAGUAACACGUGAGUAACCUGCCCUAGGCUUUGGGAUAACCCCGGGAAACCGGGGCUAAUACCGGAUAUGACCUGGUGCCGCAUGGUGUUGGGUGGAAAGUUUUUUCGGCCUGGGAUGGGCUCGCAGCCUAUCAGCUUGUUGGUGGGGUGAUGGCCUACCAAGGCGAUGACGGGUAGCCGGCCUGAGAGGGCGACCGGCCACACUGGGACUGAGACACGGCCCAGACUCCUACGGGAGGCAGCAGUGGGGAAUAUUGCACAAUGGGCGGAAGCCUGAUGCAGCGACGCCGUGUGAGGGAUGAAGGCCUUCGGGUUGUAAACCUCUUUCAGCAGGGACGAAGCGUGAGUGACGGUACCUGCAGAAGAAGCGCCGGCCAACUACGUG